rnacentral:rRNA from 1 species
AACGUAGGUACCGAGCGUUAUCCGGAUUCACUGGGCGUAAAGCGCGUGCAGGUGGUUUGGUAAGUCGGGCAUGAAAGCUCUUGGCUCAACUGAGAGACGCUGUCCGAUACUGCCGGACUUGAGGGCAUAAGAGGGAGGUGGAAUUCCGCAUGUAGUGGUGAAAUGCGUAGAUAUGCGGAGGAACACCAGUGGCGAAGGCGGCCUCCUGGUAUGCUCCUGACACUCAGACGCGAAAGCUAGGGGAGCGAACGGG